rnacentral:rRNA from 1 species
GACGAACGCUGGCGGCGUGCUAAACACAUGCAAGUCGAACGGAAAGGCCCUGCUUUUGUGGGGUGCUCGAGUGGCGAACGGGUGAGUAACACGUGAGUAACCUGCCCUUGACUUUGGGAUAACUUCAGGAAACUGGGGCUAAUACCGGAUAGGAGCUCCUGCUGCAUGGUGGGGGUUGGAAAGUCUCGGCGGUUGGGGAUGGACUCGCGGCUUAUCAGCUUGUUGGUGGGGUAGUGGCUUACCAAGGCUUUGACGGGUAGCCGGCCUGAGAGGGUGACCGGCCACAUUGGGACUGAGAUACGGCCCAGACUCCUACGGGAGGCAGCAGUGGGGAAUAUUGCACAAUGGGCGGAAGCCUGAUGCAGCAACGCCGCGUGCGGGAUGACGGCCUUCGGGUUGUAAACCGCUUUCGCCUGUGACGAAGCGUGAGUGACGGUAAUGGGUAAAGAAGCACCGGCUAACUACGUG